rnacentral:lncRNA from 1 species
UUAUUUUUAAGUAAUUUAAAUAGGAAUAUAUAUACAUAUAAGUAGUUGAAGAUUAAUCAGAGUAGGUACAGAGCAUUUAAAAUGACUCAGAAUUGUCCAAACACAUCUCAAAUUCUGGAAGACAUUUUGUACGGAGGACUUUUAACAACAAAUUCAAUACCUCAACAUAUGUGUCAACAUUACAUCUUCAUAAGCACAAGGUUCCACAUCAACCUCUGAUCUCACAUUUCAGUCCACUAGGUCUUACAUCAACCUCUGAUCUCAAGCUCCAGUCCACAAGGUCUUACAUCAACCUCUGAUCUCAAGCUCCAGUCCACAAGGUCCCAUAUCAACCUCUGAUCUCACGCUUCAGACAGUUUAGACCACAGUCUGUCCCAGAAUGCCUGGUGCUGAUCGGGGUCCUGGGGCCAGUCCAGAUAAGUCCUGGUCUUCACCAGGCGAGCCAGCCUGUGGUGGGCAGAAAGCCGGCGAGGGGGGAUCUUCUCCAGGAAGACAAGGAGGAGGAUGUCCCUUUGCUCCACCUGCAGCCUGGAGGUGGCCAGCUUCAUCUCCAGGGAGCACCAGUUACUGCGUAGGGUGUGGCGGCUCCGGUAAAGGCUGUCUGUGAUGUUCUCCACAAUGUCCUUCCCCAGCUGGAAGUCCCUGCUGUGCAGACAGAGGCGCAGGAAAGGAGGACCGCUCUGCUCCAGAUUGGGAAGCAGCUCCUCUACCACCCAGCGCUCGUCCUUCCCGCUAUAGGAGACAAACGCAUCAUAGUGGUAGCGCCCCCUGGUGUUGGAUCGCAUGGCCUCCGACAGCCAGCCAAGGGUGAUGUGGUAGAGGGGGAGGAGGUAGGGGCCGGCCAGGUUAUGGACCAACACCACCAGCAUGAAGAACAUUACUCCCAGGCCAGUCGCAGCAAAGAGCACAAAGCCCACCUCUGUUGUGCAGUUGGCUUCUGUGUACUUGACAAAAUUAGGUGUGUCUAUUCCAUUGUCCGACAAGCAUAUCAAGUCCUCCAAAGCAGACAUAACGGGAUUAGUAUACGGAGUAAACAUGAUCACUUCAACCUGCCUGUACCCUUUGGCCCAUGUAAUGAGCCAAGCAUUGUCACAACUGCAAAAGAUCUGGAUCUGAGGAAGUAUCAAAUACUUAAGGCUAGAGAGAGGUUCAAUAAAGCUGUAGAAUACAUUAUAAAUGUUCUCGAUACACAAAUACAAUGUUUUCAAGGAUUUAAAGUCUUUAGUUAAACUCCCCUCCAAAGAAUAAAUCCUGCAGUUGUCAAGUUCGAGAACCUCCAGUUUGGUCAAGUUGUGAAAAAUGUUGUCGGCAGAACGCUGUAUUAAAAGAUCCACCUGACGUAGAGUCAGUUUCCUCAGGUGAAUCAGCUGAUUAAUUGAUGUUAAAUCAACACUUUUAGCUGAAAGCUUAGAUCUGUAGUCAAAUGUCUCCACAGACGUGAAGUACUUUCCCAUGAAUUCAGAUCCACAAAGGAAUUCUUCAGCAUCAGCAUGAAGAUGGGUUACAGACUGAAAGAAAGGUCUGUCACAGUCCUCAAAUGACACCGUCUGGCCUUUGAGCUGGAGACUCAGGUUGUGUUUAGAUGUGAUGUUACUGCCGAUAAUCAACUGCAUUGGCCUCAUAGCUGAACUAAUGUACAGAUGAGUCAGCUGACUCAGAAUGCCACCAAAUAUAAGUGUCAGAUUCAGCUUGAUCACAGGUUCUGUUAGUGGAUUGUUCAAUUGCCCGAGAAACACUUGUCUUAGAGACGUGAGGUGUGUGAAAGACAUUGCCUCAAUGUUGUGAAUAAGUGGAUUGUUCCUGAGGUCUAACCAUGUCAAACUAUGUAAACCAAAAAAUGUGUUUGCAUUUAUCUGUGUUAUCUUAUUUCUUGUAAUGUCUAAGGACUCCAGAUUUGUCAAUCCCAGGAAAGCAAAGUCUUCAAUGUUUGAAAUUAAAUUAUGUGUUAAAUCCAGAUACUGCAGCUUAACAAGACAGCUAAAUUGUUUAGCAAAAAGAAUGUGUAGCUUGUUCAACCUUAAAGUCAGUUUUGUCAGUUGUAAACCAAAAAAUGUGUUUGUAUUUAUCUGUGUAAUAUUAUUUAUUCCAAUGUCUAAGGAUUCCAGAUUUGUCAGUCCCAGGAAAGCAAAGUCUUCAAUGUUUGAAAUUAAAUUAUCUGCUAAAUCCAAAUACUGCAGGUUAAUAAGACAGCUAAAUUGUUUAGCAAAAAGCAUUUGUAGUUUGUUCAACCUUAAAGUCAAUUUUGUUAACCAUUUUAUUGGUUGUUUUUGGAAGGAGCAAAUAUCAAGUCUGUUGUCUUUCAGGCCAUUUAUUGUUAAUUGAAUAAGGUUUUUGAGACCGGAAAUAAAAUGCCAUUCCAAAUAUGGAGUAGAAUGGAAAUAGCCAGGUUUACGUAAAUGCAUAUAUUCUAGCCCAAUGCACAAUUCAACACUGGACAUAGAGAGGCUGCUUAAAUUGGCAUUGUGAAAAUAUAUUUUCUUGAUUGAAAGCAAAAACACUACACUACAGAUACUUUCAAUAUCUAUUUCAUUGCUACCAGAGCAACUGAAGUACUGGAUUUGCUGAAUCCCAGACAGGGGAAGGCGCAGUAGGACUUCCUGGCUGAAAGCCCCAGAUAAUCCUGUGAGGUUCUGGAGCCAAGCCAGUGAACCUUCCUGUAUAUGUGUUAUUUCACCAAAUAAUAAGUCAGAGAUUGCUAGAUUGUUAAAAACAGGUUUCAUGCUUUCGUUGGUGUUUAAGAUGGAGCAGUUUGAUUGGUUUAACGAUUGUAUCUCUGGUGCUUCUAUAUUUAGCUUUAUAAGUGACUUUAUAUUCAUUAUUCUGCAUAGUAUCUCUGACAAAUCAUCUACACAGGGUUCACGAAUGAUGAGACUUUGUAAAUGAGUCAUGCCAUGGAAAACAUCUGGGGCCAUUGCUGAUAGUCUAUAACCCCAUACGGUCAAAUUACUCAGCUUGACUAGAUCUCUGAAUGUAUGAGGCCCAAUAUGACAAUCACAGCACCCAGAGCCCAUUCCAUCCAAAUGUAAAUGUUGCAGAUUUGGAAGGUGGCUUUUCCCAGACGGAAGGAUUUGAGUAAAACAGCCCUUAAUGUACAGGUAGUCCAGAUCCUGAAACUGAGAGAAAAAGCCCAGAGACAUGGAUCUAUUUUCGCCAUUUGCCAUAGAUAUGCAGAAGGUAUUGAUAUUAGGGGGAAGUCCAAGUAGAUCCUCCUCGAUGGCUGUGACAUAUUUACAGGCAGCAGUGUAAUGUUCUGCAUGACGAGGUAGGUAGUUGCAGGACCAGGUGGGAAAGUCUCCCAAGUCUUCACCUCUGUCAUAAAUCUGGCAUUUAGGAUGCAUCCAUCCACUAGUACACUGAAUCCACAGGAACAGGACGGCAGGGUGGGAAAACAUAGCUCUCAUCUCUCCCAACGUCAGUCAAAUGUACUGAGAUAAUUGUCAGAAUAGUUUGGUUCCGGUGGAUAUCUGUAAAACGUUGGUUUGAUACAAUAACACACUUGGGAAUACGACAAACAGUAUGGAGUCUUUCUUGUUGUUGUUGUUUGUCAGAUGGGUUCCUCCUUGGUAACUAACAGCAGUUCAUACCUUUUGGUUGUUCCAAUGUUCUGCCCUUUCACCCUGCAGUUGAAUUGUGUCUCAAGGUUACAGGACUAAAUAUUUAAAGGUUAGUUUGGUUCCAAAAGUAAAGAAACUAUAAAAUGUCCCACAGUCAAUGAAGAAAUGAAUGCAGAGCUGCAACGUGUUCUCUGAUCAUCACAGUUGAUGUCUGAAUGCGUCCGAGGAGCAGCAUCCUGUUU